CAGCCUCCUCCAACUCUUGACAAUGUCUAUAAUAUGGUCCUCAAUGAUGAGAAGCAAAGACAAGUCCAGUCUCAUUCUCACUUUAAUCCAGACUCUGUCUCUUUCAAUGUCCAUACUAGUAGGCAUCCUGUUGGAUUUAACAAGGCCAUAGUGCCUAUUCCUCCUUCUCCUUUCAGACAGGGAGUCAAUUUUGAUCAAGCCAGAGGACCUUUAUUCUGUAGAUACUGUAAAAAAUCUGGACACUUAAUUGAUAAGUGUUUCAAGAUCCAUGGGUAUCCACAAAGUACAAAUUUGAACAAGGGGAGGAGACAUGCUGCUGCUCAUCUUAGUGCUGGUCUGGAUUUCCAUCAUUCUGAAGGACGUAUGUCUGUUCCCCAAGGGAAUCCUCCUGAAAGCCGUCAAUCUGUUGCAAAAAUAGAUGGCAAGAGUUCUGUGAUUCCAGGGUUGAGCAGACAACAGUAUGAUCAGUUGAUGAAUUUAUUACAACAGACCCAGUUAGGGGACUCCACUGCUCAGACUCCUCCUCCCAUGUAUGUUGCUAACUUUGCUGGUACUAUGUUAACUGAGAGCCCUAUUUCCGAUUCCAAACUCUGCUUGCUUACCAAUAUUAAUUCUGUCACCUGGAUUAUAGAUUCAGGUGCCNNNNNNNNNNNUGUUCCAUUGCCUUCUGUGUCUGCUUCUUGUAAUGAUGACAUUUUGUCUGAUAGCAAGGCUGUUCCAUUGCCUUCACAUGUAUAUAGUUCCAUCUGCAAUAAUGUUCUUACAACUGACAUGAAUUACAUUUGGCAUUUAAGACUUGCUCAUACUCCAUUUGCAAAUAUGAGAUAUAUUUCUGGUUUGUCUUUUCUAUUUGCUUCCAAACAACCUUUUCCAUGUUCAGUCUGUCCUAUGGCAAGACAGACUAGGCUCCCCUUUCCUGAUGGUUCUAUUAAGAUCUCUAGACCCUUUCAACUGAUUCGUGUGGACACUUGGGGACUUUAUCAUACUCCAACCUCUUCUGGUUGUAGAUAUUUCCUUACAAUUGUGGAUGAUUUUUCUAGGGCAACAUGGACACAGUUAAUGUGAUCCAAAAGCAAUGCUUUUUCUAUGCUUAAGUCAUUCCUUUCUUUGGUUAAAACCCAAUUUAAUCCUGUGGUUCAAACUGUUAGAAGUGACAAUGCCUUAGAAUUGGGAUCUACCAUUGAGGGUACUUCUUUCUUUAGUAGUCAAGGGAUCAUACAUCAAACCACCUGCUCUCAUUCCCCUCAACAGAAUGGUGUUGUUGAGAGGAAGCAUAGAACCCUUCUUGAAACUUGUCGAGCUUUGCUUUUUCAAUCUGGCUUGCCUGUAUCUUUCUGGGGGGACUGUUUGAUGACUGCCACCUACCUCCUUAACAUAAUACCCACCAUAUUACUUCACAAUAAAUCUCCUCAUGAAAUCUUGUAUGGGAAAAUUCCAACCUAUACUCACUUAGAAUACCCACCAGAUUACUUCAUAAUAAAUCUCCUCAUGAAAUCUUGUAUCGGAAAAUUCCAACCUAUACUCACUUGAGAACAUUUGGUUGCCUUGCCUAUGCCACUGUCCCAAUCCCUCAAAGGGACAAGUUAAAGCCAAGAGCCCUUGCUUGUGUUUUCCUGGGUUACCCUUUUGCCAAAAAGGGUUAUAAAUUGUAUGAUCUUGCUUCAAAGAAAUAUUUGGCUUCCAGGGAUGUCAUAUUUUAUGAAUCAUGUUUUCCUUUUAAAACUGUAUCUUCUUCUGCUCAUCCUUCUGCUUUAUCCUUUCCUUUUGUUCCUUCUGGAGAACAUGAGGAUGAUUCUGAUUCUCCCAUCCUCCUCUCCUCACCUACUUCUCCUACAUCUGUGCAAGUACCUCCUUAUACUGACCCUAACUCUUCUGACUCUACCUUCACUCCUUCUUUCAAUCCUGAUAUCUCACCUCCUGUCCUAGCUUCUUCUCCUUCUGUUCCUGCUCCCAAAAAGUCUCAAAGACAGCAUAAUCCUCCCACUUAUCUUAAGGAUUAUGUUUGUCAACUACCUGCCUUUUCUGGUUCAUCUUCCUCCUCUUAGGAAUCUGAGCCUCUAUGUUACUCUCAAGCUGCAUCUGUUCCAGCAUGGCAGGAUGCCAUGAGACAAGAGUUUGAUGCUUUGGACACAAACCACACUUGGGAUGUUGUUCCUCUUCCUCCUGGUAAGAAACCCAUUGGUUGUAAAUGGGUUUAUAAAAUCAAAUACAAGGCCGAUGUGCUAAGUGUCUUAUUGUUGUGGCUGUAAAAAAUCAUUGGAAUUUGUUUCAACUAGAUGUUAAUGAUGCUUUCUUGCAUGGUGAUUUGGAUGAGGAGGUCUAUAUGAAGCUCCCUCCAGGUUUGACAGUUUCUGCCCCUACCUCUGUUACUGCCUCCUCUGCCUCUACUCCCCUUGUUUGCAAAUUAAACAAAUCCAUAUAUGGCCUCAGACAGGCUUCCAGAAAGUGGUAUGCCAAAUUGUCUUCUGCGCUUUAUUCCAGAGGCUAUAGACAUUCUUUGAAUGAUUAUUCUCUAUUCAUCAAAGGUACACCAGGGUCCCUUGUGAUUGUUGCUGUCUGUGUGGAUGAUAUUAUUCUUACUGGGGAUGACUGUGAUGAAAUUGCUGACCUGAAACUGUUUCUGGAUGCUCAGUUCAAAAAUAAGGACCUAGGGUCCUUACAUUGUUUUCUAGGCAUAGAGAUGUCAGCUGUUCCUGGUGGGAUGAUCCUUAAUUAGCAUAAAUAUAUUUCUGAUUUGCUGCAACAGUUUGACUGUGUCAAUGUCUCUUCUGU
rnacentral:lncRNA from 1 species